GAUGAACGCUGGCGGCGUGCCUAAUACAUGCAAGUCGAGCGAACGGACGAGAAGCUUGCUUCUCUGAUGUUAGCGGCGGACGGGUGAGUAACACGUGGAUAGCCUACCUAUAAGACUGGGAUAACUUCGGGAAACCGGAGCUAAUACCGGAUAAUAUUUUGAACCGCAUGGUUCAAAAGUGAAAGACGGUCUUGCUGUCACUUAUAGAUGGAUCCGCGCUGCAUUAGCUAGUUGGCAAGGUAACGGCUUACCAAGGCAACGAUGCAUAGCCGACCUGAGAGGGUGAUCGGCCACACUGGAACUGAGACACGGUCCAGACUCCUACGGGAGGCAGCAGUAGGGAAUCUUCCGCAAUGGGCGAAAGCCUGACGGAGCAACGCCGCGUGAGUGAUGAAGGUCUUCGGAUCGUAAAACUCUGUUAUUAGGGAAGAACAUAUGUGUAAGUAACUGUGCACAUCUUGACGGUACCUAAUCAGAAAGCCACGGCUAACUACGUG
rnacentral:rRNA from 1 species